CAGCUACUUGGGAGGCUGAGGCAGGAGAAUCGCUUGAACCUGGGAGGUGGUGGUUGGAGUGAGCCAGGAUUACGCCCUUGUACUCCAGUCUGGGUGACAGAGUGAUACACCAUCUAA